rnacentral:rRNA from 1 species
GACUAGAGUGAUGUAGGGGAGACUGGAAUUCCUGGUGUAGCGGUGAAAUGCGCAGAUAUCAGGAGGAACACCGAUGGCGAAGGCAGGUCUCUGGGCAUUUACUGACGCUGAGGAGCGAAAGCAUGGGGAGCGAACAGGAUUAGAUACCCUGGUAGUCCAUGCCGUAAACGUUGGGCACUAGGUGUGGGGGACAUUCCACGUUUUCCGCGCCGUAGCUAACGCAUUAAGUGCCCCGCCUGGGGAGUACGGCCGCAAGGCUAAAACUCAAAGGAAUUGACGGGGGCCCGCACAAGCGGCGGAGCAUGCGGAUUAAUUCGAUGCAACGCGAAGAACCUUACCAAGGCUUGACAUGUGCCAGACCGGACUAGAGAUAGUUCUUCCCUUCGGGGCUGGUUCACAGGUGGUGCAUGGUUGUCGUCAGCUCGUGUCGUGAGAUGUUGGGUUAAGUCCCGCAACGAGCGCAACCCUCGUUCCAUGUUGCCAGCACGUAGUGGUGGGGACUCAUGGGAGACUGCCGGGGUCAACUCGGAGGAAGGUGGGGAUGACGUCAAAUCAUCAUGCCCCUUAUGUCUUGGGCUUCACGCAUGCUACAAUGGCCGGUACAAUGGGUUGCGAUACUGUGAGGUGGAGCUAAUCCCUAAAAGCCGGUCUCAGUUCGGAUUGGGGUCUGCAACUCGACCCCAUGAAGUCGGAGUCGCUAGUAAUCGCAGAUCAGCAACGCUGCGGUGAAUACGUUCCCGGGCCUUGUACACACCGCCCGUCAAGUCACGAAAGUUGGUAACACCCGAAGCCGAUGGCCUAACCACCUUGUGUGGGGGGAGU